rnacentral:rRNA from 1 species
GUGUCAGCAGCCGCGGUAAUACGUAGGGGGCGAGCGUUGUCCGAAGUUACUGGGCGUAAAGCGCGCGUAGGCGGGCGAUUAAGUCGGAAGUGAAAGGCUGGGGCUCAACCCCAUGCAGUGCUUCCGAUACUGAUUGUCUUGAGGGCGGCAGGGAGAAGUGGAAUGGCUGGUGUAGCGGUGAAAUGCGUAGAUAUCAGUCGGAACACCGGUGGCGAAGGCGGCUUCUUGGGCCGUACCUGACGCUGAGGCGCGAAAGCCAGGGGAGCGAACGGGAUUAGAUACCCGUGUAGUCC